rfam:Ipomoea nil DNA, scaffold: scaffold2926, cultivar: Tokyo-kokei standard.
GCCUCCAUAGCAUAGUGGUAGUGUGUUCGCUUUGUAAGCGAAAGGUUGUGAGUUCAAUUCUCAUUAGAGGCU